rnacentral:rRNA from 1 species
AUUGAACGCUGGCGGCAGGCCUAACACAUGCAAGUCGAGCGGAUGAAUGGAGCUUGCGCCUGGAUUCAGCGGCGGACGGGUGAGUAAUGCCUAGGAAGCUGCCUUAUCUUUGGGGAUAACGUCCGUAAACGGGCGCUAAUACCGCAUACGUCCUGAGGGUGAAAGUGGGGGAUCUUCGGACCUCACGCUAUCAGAUGAGCCUAAGACGUAUUAGCUAGUUGGUGGGGUAAAGGCCUACCAAGGCGACGAUCCGUAACUGGUCUGAGAGGAUGAUCAGUCACACUGGAACUGAGACACGGUCCAGACUCCUACGGGAGGCAGCAGUAGGGAAUCUUGGACAAUGGGCGAAAGCUUGAUCCAGCCAUGCCGCGUGUGUGAAGAAGGUCUUCGGAUUGUAAAGCACUUUAAGUUGGGAGGAAGAGAAGUAAGUUAAUACAUUGAUGUUUUGACGUUACCAACAGAAUAAGCACCGGCUAACUUCGUG